CUCGAGCUAACUCCAACCCAUGUGACGUUACCAAACUGUUGCCUCGGCGGGAUCUCUGCCCCGGGUGCGUCGCAGCCCCGGACCAAGGCGCCCGCCGGAGGACCAACCAAAACUCUUAUUGUAUACCCCCUCGCGGGUUUUUUACUAUCUGAGCCAUCUCGGCGCCCCUCGUGGGCGUUUCGAAAAUGAAUCAAAACUUUCAACAACGGAUCUCUUGGUUCUGGCAUCGAUGAAGAACGCAGCGAAAUGCGAUAAGUAAUGUGAAUUGCAGAAUUCAGUGAAUCAUCGAAUCUUUGAACGCACAUUGCGCCCGCCAGUAUUCUGGCGGGCAUGCCUGUCCGAGCGUCAUUUCAACCCUCGAACCCCUCCGGGGGGUCGGCGUUGGGGAUCGGCCCUUUACGGGGCCGGCCCCGAAAUACAGUGGCGGUCUCGCCGCAGCCUCUCCUGCGCAGUAGUUUGCACACUCGCAUCGGGAGCGCGGCGCGUCCACAGCCGUUAAACACCCCAAACUUCUGAAAUGUUGACCUCGGAUCAGGUAGGAAUACCCGCCUGAACUUAAGCAUAUCAAUAAGGGAAAGGAAA
rnacentral:rRNA from 1 species